GACGAACGCUGGCGGCGUGCUUAACACAUGCAAGUCGAACGGAAAGGCCCUGCUUGUGUGGGGUGCUCGAGUGGCGAACGGGUGAGUAACACGUGAGUAACCUGCCCUUGACUUUGGGAUAACUUCAGGAAACUGGGGCUAAUACCGGAUAGGAGCUCCUGCUGCAUGGUGGGGGUUGGAAAGUUUCGGCGGUUGGGGAUGGACUCGCGGCUUAUCAGCUUGUUGGUGGGGUAGUGGCUUACCAAGGCUUUGACGGGUAGCCGGCCUGAGAGGGUGACCGGCCACCUUGCUACUGAGAUACGGCCCAGAGUCCUACGGGAGGCAGCGGUGGGGAAUAUUGUACAAUGGGCGGAAGCCUGAUGCAGCAACGCCGCGUGCGGGAUGACGGCCUUCGGGUUUUAAACCGCUUUCGCCUGUGACGAUGCGUGAGUGACGGUAAUGUGUAAAGAAGCACCGGCUAACUACGUG
rnacentral:rRNA from 1 species